CCCUUAGAUGUUCUGGGCUGCACGCGCGCUACACUGAUGCACUCAACGAGUUUACGACCUUGCCCGAUAGGGUUGGGUAAUCUUUUUAAAAUGCAUCGUGAUGGGGAUAGAUUAUUGCAAUUAUUAAUCUUCAACGAGGAAUUCCUAGUAAGCGCGAGUCAUCAGCUCGUGCUGAUUACGUCCCUGCCCUUUGCACACACCGCCCGUCGCUCCUACCGAUUGAGUGCUCAGGUGAAUAAUUCGGACUGCAGCAAUGUUUGGAUCCCGAACGUUGCAGCGGAAAGUUUAGUGAACCUUAUCACUUAGAGGAAGGAGAAGUCGUAACA
rnacentral:rRNA from 1 species